rnacentral:lncRNA from 1 species
CAGCAGCUGUUGAUGGUGGUAGUGGGGAUGAUGAUGAUGAUAACAAUACAGCUAUAGAAACCAUUAGAGGUUCUGAUAGUUAUUCGGGUGGACCUCCAACUCUACGGCUACUUCAAUAGGCGAGCCACACUCGCUGUUCCAUUUGCAACGCCCAUACAUACCAAAUUCACAUGUCAUCUCUUUCUCCUUCUGCUGCUGCUGCUGCUUUGGUGGCUAACCAAUGCAAUAAGCCAAUUCGGCUGAUCAAAUCAAAAAGUAUUUAUUGUUUUUAUUAUUCUUCCAGUUAACUGUAUCAAUUACAUCAUGUACCAUCUGACGACCUAAAUGAUGAACACAGACUCCUUGGUAUUGGAAAUGUAAUUGUGAUGUAAUAGGUACGUACCUGAUCACUAUUCCGGCCCGGUGUAUUUAGGUAAAGCACCGUCGGAAAUAACAGUACUGCCGUCGACGAGAACAGAGGGAGAGAGAGAGAUAUAGGUAGCUUGUUGUCGAUAGACAUGGCUGGUUUUUCC